GCUUAACGCGAAGAACCUUACCUACUCUUGACAUCCAGAGAACUUAGCAGAGAUGCUUUGGUGCCUUCGGGAACUCUGAGACAGGUGCUGCAUGGCUGUCGUCAGCUCGUGUUGUGAAAUGUUGGGUUAAGUCCCGCAACGAGCGCAACCCUUAUCCUUUGUUGCCAGCGGUUAGGCCGGGAACUCAAAGGAGACUGCCAGUGAUAAACUGGAGGAAGGUGGGGAUGACGUCAAGUCAUCAUGGCCCUUACGAGUGGGGCUACACACGUGCUACAAUGGCAUAUACAAAGAGAAGCGACCUCGCGAGAGCAAGCGGACCUCAUAAAGUAUGUCGUAGUCCGGAUUGGAGUCUGCAACUCGACUCCAUGAAGUCGGAAUCGCUAGUAAUCGUGGAUCAGAAUGCCACGGUGAAUACGUUCCCGGGUCUUGUACACACCG
rnacentral:rRNA from 1 species